UACAGAGGUCCCAAGCGUUGUUCGGAUUCACUGGGCGUAAAGGGUGCGUAGGCGGUCGGGUAAGUCUGAUGUGAAAUCUCCAAGCUUAACUUGGAAAUGGCAUCGGAUACUAUUCGGCUCGAGGAAUGGAGGGGAGACUGGAAUACUUGGUGUAGCAGUGAAAUGCGUAGAUAUCAAGUGGAACACCAGUGGCGAAGGCGAGUCUCUGGACCACAACUGACGCUGAGGCGCGAAAGCUAGGGGAGCAAACAGG
rnacentral:rRNA from 1 species